CGACGAAGCGGGUUCAGGAUCUCAAACUCAACGACAUUUCGCCGUGUUCUUACGCGUCCCGCGAAUCGAAGCACAACGAACAAGAUAGAACCAGGGGUAGGAAGUCAACGAAUCCAACUCCAAGUCAGUCUGUGAGCGCGCAGGUAGGAUGAGGCCUCGGUGCGGUCCAGAGGGUAUUCUAGUAUCCAGGAGUGGCCAAAAGUCCUUGGAUGGGACUCAACCAAGAUCAGCCUUCAGGGGUAGAGAAGGAGGCAGUUCAUCAUCGGGAGGGGAAAGCCAGAAGCUUUAGGAUAGAAUCCUAAGGAUUCCUACCCGCUCAAAUGGUUCGGCCACGUGACCUUGAAUCCACCGAUGAGACACGGCCCUGGGAGACAAUUCUGGAAGCCAGUGGUAUGACGCGUGUGCUUUGCAGGCUCGCCUUGCAGACUUCACCCCGCGAGGGUGGGAAUGUGUGGCAUCAUCAGCACCUGUUUCUGUCUGAGCAGCCCGGGUGGCACUGGUCUGUCUCCACUGGGGCAAGACGGGACCAUUGCUUCUGCCCUCGAGCCUCCAAGCCCCCGCCCCUGGCUUCUCCCGGACAUCCUGACAGCCGCCAAUGGCCUUUCACAAUCCCCUUUUCCCUUUAAAGUAACUGGAGCGGGUUCCGUGGCUCACACUCGAGAAUUCGGGUUGGUACACCCCAGGGGCUUUCCAUUGGGUACUGCGGGGAAGGUACAGUGUCAGUGGCCUUCUCGGGGCUGAUGCAGGGGCUUCUGUGCCACCACCACCCCCUGCCGCUCUACUUUUUCACACACUGAGCUGCCAAAUGAAGACUGUAUUCACGAAACAAUAACAACAGUAAUAGCUCUUGACCUUGAUUGAGCACUUGCUGCUAGUUGGGCGUUGCCCGGCAGAUUGUAUUUUCUUUAAAAAAAAUUUAUUUUACUCUUUAUUUAUUUUUGAGAGACAGACAGAGACUGAGUGUGAGAAGGGCAGAGAGAGAGAG